CCCCUAGACGUUCUGGGCUGCACGCGCGCUACAAUAGUACGCACAGCGAGUAUCACCGAGCUCGAAAGGGCAAGGUAAACAAUAGAAAAGGUACUGUAAUGGUUAUAGAUCCUUGUAAUUAUUGAUCUUCAACGAGGAAUUCCUAGUAAGUAUGUGUCAUCAUCACGCACUGAUUACGUCCCUGCCCUUUGUACACACCGCCCGUCGCUCCUACCGAUUGGGUGAGCCGAUGAAACUCUCGGAUGUAGGCUAUUCAUAGCCCGCAGAAGAGAUUUGAAUCGUAGCGCUUAGAGGAAGGAGAAGUCGUAACA
rnacentral:rRNA from 1 species